UGGGGAAUAUUGCACAAUGGGCGCAAGCCUGAUGCAGCAACGCCGCGUGAACGAUGAAGGUCUUCGGAUCGUAAAGUUCUGUUGCAGGGGAAGAUAAUGACGGUACCCUGUGAGGAAGCCCCGGCUAACUACGUGCCAGCAGCCGCGGUAAUACGCAGGGGGCUAGCGUUAUCCGGAUUUACUGGGCGUAAAGGGUGCGUAGGUGGUCUUUCAAGUCGGUGGUUAAAGGCUACGGCUCAACCGUAGUUAGCCUCCGAAACUGGAAGACUUGAGUGCAGGAGAGGAAAGUGGAAUUCCCAGUGUAGCGGUGAAAUGCGUAGAUAUUGGGAGGAACACCAGUAGCGAAGGCGGCUUUCUGGACUGCAACUGACACUGAGGCACGAAAGCGUGGGUAGCAAACAGG
rnacentral:rRNA from 1 species